AUUGAACGCUGGCGGCAGGCUUAACACAUGCAAGUCGAACGAGUGGCGGACGGGUGAGUAAUGUCUGGGAAACUGCAUGAUGGAGGGGGAUAACUACCGGAAAAGGUAGCUAAUACCGCAUACCAUCAGAUGUUCCCAGAUGGGAUUAGCUUGUUGGUGGGGCAACGGCGCACCAAGGCGACGAUCUCUAGCUGGUCUGAGAGGAUGACCAGCCACACGGGGACUGAGACACGGUCCAGGCGCCUAGAGAAGUCGGCAGUAGGAAAUAUUGCGCAAUAGGCGCAGACCUGAUGCCACCAUGCCACGUGUAUGAAGAAGGCCUUCGGGUUGUAAAGUACUUUCAGCGGGAAGGCGUUACCCGCAGAAGAAGCACCGGCUAACUCCGUGCCAGCAGCCGCGGUAAUAC
rnacentral:rRNA from 1 species